UGCAAAUGAAAUGAUGGCACUUAGCCCA
rnacentral:piRNA from 2 species